GACUCUCGAAAAUGGAUAUCUCAGCUUUUGCAUCGAUGAAGAACGUAGCGAAAUGCGAUACAUGGUGUGAAUUGCAGAAUCCCACGAACCAUCGAGUCUUUGAACGAAAGUUAAGCCCUAGGCCAUCGGGCUAAGGGCACGCCUGCUUGGGCAUCA